rnacentral:lncRNA from 1 species
UCAUACCGGACGGGGUAUUGAGGUUCAUGGUUUUGGCACCCAUACCGGACGGGGUAUGGGGACGGCCCUGGAAUCAGGUUGUAGAUGUUAAUGGUUCACGUGUAGCGGGGACCCCCUAUGGAUCCCCAGGGAUACUAGUAGGCUGGUAAAAGAGGAAAUUUAUUUUCUGAUGAUUGAAAUAUAAAGGUAUGAUAUAUGUUAUGUUAUAAAGUGUGUAUGAUUUCAUGAUAUUAUAAGGUUAUUGUUUUCAUAUGUUAUUUUCAUGGAUCUCAUUGAGGUAAGUGGACAGUAAAGGUUUUUAUAUUAAUAAAUGAGUUCGUUAUAAAUUAUGCUCCAUUGGUCAUUUUU